rnacentral:rRNA from 1 species
AUUGAACGCUGGCCGCAGGCCUAACACAUGCAAGUAGAACGAGUGGCGGACGGGUGAGUAAUGUCUGGGAAACUGCCUGAUGGAGGGGGAUAACUACUGGAACCGGUAGCUAAUACCGCAUACCAUCAGAUGUGCCCAGAUGGGAUUAGCUUGUUGGUGGGGUAACGGCUCACCAGGGCGACGAUCCCUAGCUAGUCUGAGAGGAUGACCAUCCACACUGGAACUUAGACUCGGUCCAGACUCCGACGGGAGGCGUCAGUGGGGAAUAUUGCACAAUGGGCGAAAGCCGGAUGCAGCCAUGCCGCGUGUAUGAAGAAGGCCGUCGGGUUGUAAAGUACGUUCAGCGGGGAGGCGUUACCCGCAGGAGAAGCACCGGCUAACUCCGUGCCAGCCGCCGCGGUAAUUC